AGUCUGACGGAGCAACGCCGCGUGAGUGAUGAAGGCUUUCGGGUCGUAAAACUCUGUUGUUAGGGAAGAACAAGUACAAGAGUAACUGCUUGUACCUUGACGGUACCUAACCAGAAAGCCACGGCUAACUACGUGCCAGCAGCCGCGGUAAUACGUAGGUGGCAAGCGUUAUCCGGAAUUAUUGGGCGUAAAGCGCGCGCAGGCGGUUUCUUAAGUCUGAUGUGAAAGCCCACGGCUCAACCGUGGAGGGUCAUUGGAAACUGGGGAACUUGAGUGCAGAAGAGAAAAGCGGAAUUCCACGUGUAGCGGUGAAAUGCGUAGAGAUGUGGAGGAACACCAGUGGCGAAGGCGGCUUUUUGGUCUGUAACUGACGCUGAGGCGCGAAAGCGUGGGGAGCAAACAGGAUUAGAUACCCUGGUAGUCCACGCCGUAAACGAUGAGUGCUAAGUGUUAGAGGGUUUCCGCCCUUUAGUGCUGCAGCUAACGCAUUAAGCACUCCGCCUGGGGAGUACGG
rnacentral:rRNA from 2 species